rnacentral:rRNA from 1 species
GACGAACGCUGGCGGCGUGCUUAACACAUGCAAGUCGAGCGAGGCCCUCCUUCGGGAGGUGUCCUAGCGGCGAACGGGUGAGUAACACGUGGGCAACCUGCCCUCAGCUCUGGGAUAACUCCAAGAAAUUGGGGCUAAUACCGGAUAUGACCGCUGACCGCAUGGUCUGGUGGUGGAAAGAUUUAUCGGCUGGGGAUGGGCCCGCGGCCUAUCAGCUUGUUGGUGGGGUAGUGGCCUACCAAGGCGACGACGGGUAGCCGGCCUGAGAGGGUGACCGGCCACACUGGGACUGAGACACGGCCCAGACUCCUACGGGAGGCAGCAGUGGGGAAUAUUGCUCAAUGGGCGGAAACCUGACGCAGCGACGCCGCGUGGGGGAUGACGGCCUUCGGGUUGUAAACCUCUUUCAGCAGGGACGAAGCGCAAGUGACGGUACCUGCAGAAGAAGCACCGGCCAACUACGUGCCAGCCGCCGCGGUAACAC